UGUGUUCACGGUGUGUGUGUGUUCACUGCUGUGUGUGUGUACUUUGGAUGGGUUAAAUGCAGAGAACAAAUUCUGAAUAUGGGUCACCGUACUUAGCCGUAUGUCACGUCACUUGUCACUUGAAAAGCCAGAUCACGUGGACAAGCUCAGAGAGCGGUAAAACGGGACGAUUUUUUUCAAAAGUGCUGCACGGAUUUCUUCAGCAACGUCACUAGAAGCCUAAGGUGAUGAGAAAGUUUGCAGUGGUCCAGUGGGGAGGAUGCUGGGAUGUAUAGCGAGGUGUAAACCGAUGCCAUAUGCAAAUAUGAUGACACCAAGAUGGAUGAGGAUGGAUACCCACAAACUGACUAUUCCGUUGCAGUGGAAUGGCAGAAGGAGAAAAAGCCAAAAUAUGGCUGGCCAGUGUAAGCUGCCUCUAUCAAGUUUGUGAGCAACAACCGAUUUCAAACUAAUGCAAAGAUUAAGGAAUUCCUGCGGUUGGACUCUGAUGAAAUGGACAGGCCAGUGCCUAAGAAAAGGGACACAGUCCCACCAUCAAGAUAUACAGAUUCAGAUUAAACUGAUGCUGAGAACACACUGGUGGAAAUUUCUUCUGGAUUGAAUGUAUUUGUUGACAGACUGGCUUGGGCUGUGGCUCAGAAUGCAAACUCUGCCUCCAGUUUUGUGAGAACACUCCUGACAGCCGUGUUUCCAAUUGAUGUGCUCCUUGUCAGCAAUCUUCGAGGAACAUCUAGGGAUUCUUGGCCACAACACCAGGCUCCUGACAAAAUAAAAGUAGAUGCCAUCAACAGAGCAAUAUUGCAAAAGUGGCCUUAUGUGGUGCCCUCCAGCAUUGGUGCAGCCAUCAAUGUCAAACUUACGGAAAUUAGAGGGAAAAAGAAAACUAAAAAAGAUUCUGAAACCUUAAUGCUCUUUGAUGACUGAUGGCCACGACUGUGUGUUUGAUGUAUUCUGAUGUUAAAUGUUCUGUUUUUCCUGAGCAAAGAGUUCAGUUCAUAAGUUGUAAUUCAAAAUUACUUAUGUGGAGUAUAAUUUGAUUGUGUCACAUUAAUUGUGUUAAAAAUUGUGUUUCCAUCGCAAAUUUGUUUGUAAUUGACUAAAAUCAUAUAUGAUCGGUAUAUUGUAAAACUGACUGAAAUCAUGUCUAAAAACAUGUAAACAAAUUACACAAAAUGUGAAUAAAUCCUGUAUGACUUUAA